rnacentral:rRNA from 1 species
CCUACGGGCGGCAGCAGUGAGGAAUAUUGGUCAAUGGACGAGAGUCUGAACCAGCCAAGUAGCGUGAAGGAUGACUGCCCUAUGGGUUGUAAACUUCUUUUAUAUGGGAAUAACAUGUUCCACGUGUGGGAUUUUGUAUGUACCAUAUGAAUAAGGAUCGGCUAACUCCGUGCCAGCAGCCGCGGUAAUACGGAGGAUCCGAGCGUUAUCCGGAUUUAUUGGGUUUAAAGGGAGCGUAGGUGGAUUGUUAAGUCAGUUGUGAAAGGUUGCGGCUCAACCGUAAAAUUGCAGUUGAAACUGGCAGUCUUGAGUACAGUAGAGGUGGGCGGAAUGCGUGGUGUAGCGGUGAAAUGCUUAGAUAUCACGAAGAACUCCGAUUGCGAAGGCAGCUCACUGGACUGCAACUGACACUGAGGCUCGAAAGUGUGGGUAUCAAACAGGAUUAGAUACCCUGGUAGUC